AGUGUAGGCGGUUUGAAAAGUCGGGUGUGAAAGCCCAGGGCCCAACCCAGGAACUGCAUCCGAUACUGUCAGGCUAGAGUCCCGGAGAGGGUGGCGGAAUUCCCGGUGUAGGGGUGAAAUCCGUAGAUAUCGGGAGGAACACCAGUGGCGAAGGCGGCCACCUGGACGGUGACUGACGCUGAGACUCGAAAGUGUGGGUAGCAAACAGGAUUAGAUACCCUGGUAGUCC
rnacentral:rRNA from 1 species